AGUUUUCAUCAAUUAUAUUGUCACGUACCCCCAUAGGAGGUCGCUCCACCUUUUCUCUGGAGUGGCAAUUGACGCUGGCGGGCGCUGGCUGCUGGCGGUUGAGCUCCGGCUGUGGCUCAGUGGAUGGGGCGCGGUUCUUUGCCAACACCUAUUGCCAAAAAGGAGGGACAAAAAAAACUAAAAUCAACCAGCUUGUGGAUGGACAAAUACAGCGGGUUCCUGGUUCUAAUGGCGACUGUUCCGGAUAAAAUCCAAUGGAGUCCCCGGGUAUUGUGGUCCUGGUGGCAGCCUCUGCGGCCAAUAGGGUCCCUUUUAGGUUCUCGUUUGUCCGUCCGUCCGUCUAGUCUUUGGGUUUUCUGAUGUGCUGCUUUCUCAGCACCGUAAGGUCAACAUUGGCUGAUGGGCAAGGAAAUAUCCUCUACUAUCCACUACCUAACCUAACUAUGAGCUCAUGCUUAGGUUACUCUAUAGAACCCAACCAAAGGAAAAAACUUUUUUAACAAAAAUAAAUCCGUUGAGAGUCAACCGUCUGUAUGCCUGUCUGUUUAUGGUCAGAGAAACUUUUUGGACUACCUUAUGGACACUGGGGUAUGCGACAGCGUCUAGGUCCCUCGGUGGAGUAGCGACAGGAGUUUUGGAUAUGCCAAUUGCAGCAGCUGAAGUCUUUUAUACGUGUGGCAGUGGAGGUGGAGGAGUCUUGACUUUCGCUUUUAUUUUUAGACUUAAGUUUUUAGCUUUAAAUUUUACAUUAUAUGAUUUGAUUUCUUUUCUAUUUCUUUUCAGUGUUUUUUACAGCUUUACUUUCUUUAAGCUUUAAGCUUUCCGAUUUCUUUUAUUCUUUUAUUUUUCAAGUUAUUUUAAAUCAUUGUAAAAUUUUCAUAAAUAUAUAUAUAUAUAUACACAUAUAUACGGUUUCUAGAAUUUUGCCUUAUAUUUGUAACUUUUUCUAUAGCUUUAAGAUGUUCACUAAAACUUUACAUUUGUUUUAAAUUAUUCCUUUAGUUUUCACCACUUUGUUUAUUCUGUGACACCGCUCAAUAAACACAUUAAAUUUUCUUUUGCUAAUUCACUUGUGUUUAAUUCUUUUUUAUAUUUACUGAUGGCUCCACCUCCGUCUGCUGCCAAGGUCCAAUCGAAAAAGAACUUGUCAUCCUCCACAUACUGACCAUCAUGGUUCCCCCAAGCCAUCAUGUCCACCGAGGAACCAUCAUGAAAAUUGCUUUUCCAAAAUAGCAAAAACAAAAAUCAUAUGUUUCUUUGAAGUGUCGUUGUAGUGGUCACAUUUGUAUGUGGAGGUAACAUAUGGUGGUAGCGCAGGGUUGUAUUCCCUAGUUGCCAUAAAAACGUGACUGUUCAAAACCAGAUGUCGCUCUACUCCAAUCAGACAUAGGGUGACACGCUACAAUAUUUAGAAAUUGCAAUUAUUUUGUAAAAUUAUUU